ACUGGUUCACAGAGGAGAGUCAUGGGCCCCUAGCUAGACUGUGGCCCAGUAGGAGGUGGAGACCAGCCAGCCCUUGUCCUCCAGUAUUCCCAAGGCCAGUCACAGGCCUAGUGUCCAAGGGGCUCAGGAGCAGCCGCCUUCAUUUCCCAGCAGAGCCAUCAGUUUGGGGUCAGACUCCUUUCUGCGCCGCCACUGAGGGUCACGGGCAGGCCUCCUCCCCACAUUACCUCCAGCCCCUGGGUGUGUUAGCACUGAAGGAUGGAUACUGAUGCUGAGUCAGAACUGGGUCCACAGGGUGUCCCUUGAGGGACUGGCAGGGAGCUAUCCUAGGAAGCAAGCCCUCAUCUCAUCUUGGGGUCACCUGCCAUCAUUAAGUACUUGUUGGGCUGGCCACUGUGCUGAAAGCUUUACGUGCAGAAUUGCUUUAAAUCCUUACAACACCCUACGAGAUGUGCCAGCAUCACCCCCAUCAUUGUCAUCUGCAUUUAAUAGAAGAGGAACCUGAGAUGCAGAGAGGGCAUGGAACUGGUCCGCGGUCACAGAAGGGGGUUUCAGUGCAAACUGUCAACGUGAUGAAUGGCCCAGGUGACAAUGACAAAAGUUAGUGCACACCUAAAGCAACUUAGGUGCUUCCCUACAGGUGUGACUUGAGCAGCGUCAAAUCGUCUAAAACCUCUCCCUCAGCACUGGGUGCUGUGCCAGGAUGCAUCAGCGAAGCCUGUGGUCCCCACCAGCUGCCGAAGCGACCACUCGGACCUGUGGCCAAGCCUGUCCUACGCCAUCCUGCUGGCUCUCCCAGUAUCUCCUUGUGUGCUGCCUCAGGCUUCCCUACCGACCACUCCUGUCAUCAUUCACAGCAUCAUGUGGGUACUUCUGGACCUGUCAUGGCCCCCGUGCACCUGGAGGCUGAUAGAAUACUAGCCCAGACACUCACUGUCUCCUUCAUACUUUUCUGGACGCCUUAAAAACUCCAACAGAUUGUACCCUGACAUAUUGUAGGGACAAUGGAGGAGGCAAUAAGCAAAGUGGCAGAGAAAAACCCUGGGGCCUGAAC
ensembl:lncRNA